UCCAGACUCCUACGGGAGGCAGCAGUGGGGAAUAUUGGGCAAUGGGCGAAAGCCUGACCCAGCAACGCCGCGUGAAGGAAGAAGGCUUUCGGGUUGUAAACUUCUUUUGACAGGGAAGAGCAGAAGACGGUACCUGUCGAAUAAGCCACGGCUAACUACGUGCCAGCAGCCGCGGUAAUACGUAGGGGGCGAGCGUUAUCCGGAUUCACUGGGUGUAAAGGGAGCGUAGACGGCCAUGCAAGCCAGGAGUGAAAGCCCGGGGCCCAACCCCGGGACUGCUCUUGGAACUGCGUGGCUGGAGUGCAGGAGGGGCAGGCGGAAUUCCUGGUGUAGCGGUGAAAUGCGUAGAUAUCAGGAGGAACACCGGUGGCGAAGGCGGCCUGCUGGACUGCAACUGACGUUGAGGCCCGAAAGCGUGGGGAGCAAACAGGAUUAGAUACCCUAGUAU
rnacentral:rRNA from 1 species